GCGCCAUUGCACUCUAGCCUGGGCAUCAGGAGUGAAAAAAAAAAAAAAAAGAAAACCAAAUCUGCAGACGAACUUGAGUGCCUGUGUAACAGGUUGUGUUGUCUGUUGUCUAUUGUGUUGUGGACUUGUGUUGUCCAUAUGCCCUUUAUGCAAGUUAUUUACCAAAAUAGCGCUUUUUGAAUCGUGUUUUCCAUUUACUAUUUCAUAAGACAUAGUAUGUAUCUAUAUUAUAAAGUUAAGAACAGCAGAAAAAUGUAUUUUCAUUUUACAAGAAUGACUUCAAUUUAAGUUAGUUUUUAUUCACCAAAAUCCAUAAUGUUCCAUGUGUCACAAUAAAACAAAGCAGACUUUGCCAGCGUGAAUCCACUUUUACUGAAGAUGAGGGUCAUUCAUGGACCUAGAGGUUACAAUAGUCAAAGUGUUCUGCACGAGAACAAACACACAGAUGUCUUUGAAAUGUGAUGCAAAAGUGCAGACUGCUGCCUCCUACUGAUGAAAAGGAAAUGAGUGAGAUGCUAUGAGUCACUAAUUGUGAACUAGUCAGUCGACAACUCCAAGAGCCCACUUCAUGCUGGUGACGAGGUCCACCAACGAUGGUCUGGCAUGUGGGGGCCUUAGUUGAAAGACAGGAGAGGUGGAUCAGAGACAGCUAGAGGAGCAGGCAUUUCCCGAGUGCUGUAAAGGGGGACUCAUCCCGCUAGGAGAAUGUCUAUUAGGGAAUUCAGACCAAGUUCUGGGAAGGAAUCCACAAGGAAGUCUCCGGGAGCAAGGAAGAAGGGGAAAGGAGAGGCAGCUGGGAAAAUGCGAGACACACACAUCCACCCCUUCCCCAAAACCCUGGCUUACACACUCGUGAGAGCCUCCCGUGGCUCAGGGAAGUCUUAGGGGGUCUUAGGAAACAUCACACAUUUCACUUUCAUCUGUCCACCAGUUAGCUACACUCGGGCUUCCAGAUCAUGAAUUUUUUUUUCUUUUUAAAGGGAGUCUUGUUCUAUAGCCCAGGCUGGAGUCCAGUGGUGUCAUCUCGGCUCACUGCAACCUCAGCCUCCCAGGUUCAAGCGAUUCUCCCACCUCAUCCUCCCGAGGAGCUGGGACUACAGGCACGCGCCACCAUGCCCAGCUAAUUUUUGUAUUUUUCGUAGAGACAGGGGUUUCACCAUGUUGGCCAGGCUUGUCUUGAACUCCUGACCUCCUGAUCUGCCCGCCUCAGCCUCCCAAAGUACUGGGAUUACAGACAUGAGCCGCCGCGCCUGGCCAACAGGUGUUUCUUAAAAGCAGAAGCAGAGAGAGGGCAGGAGAGAACAAACAGGAGGGGAGGGAUGUCUUCCGGACACUGGGCUCUCUCCUCAGGAGAGAAUGAGGCCUGAGGUGGGCACAGGGCCCUCUGGGUGUGUAACAGGCCCAGGGCAGCCUCGCCAGCCUCCAUUGCUUGUCCAUAAGCAAAGCAUAACAUUAUGUGUAAAAACAAACAUCAUCACAAGAUAGGCCAGGCACCGCCUUGCGACAGCAGCCUUGUGGCUACUGGAUGUGUGUGGUUGACCUCAGUAAGGUAGGCGCCCUUCUCUGCAGGCCUGUCCAGACAGCUCCGCACCAUGCUGCUCAGGAUCAGGCCUGCAGUUCCACGAACUGGCCCCCUUGUGGGUUGCCUUCAGGAGCAUACCUCUGACUCAGUGUCCCAACCUCCUCUGCCCUGCCCUGCCCGGGGCCCUCAUGUGCACACACCCAGGAUCUGCCCAGGGCCCUCUCUGCUCAGCCCACAAAUACUGCUUCGUUCCCCUGGCUGACUGGCUGCACCUCCAGGUAAAGCAAUGCUCUCAGGCCCCAGCCAGGUCAUUCUUUACGGGGUUAUUCUAUGUACUGUGGGAGGUAUAGCAGCACCGCUGGUCUUUACGAUGACCGGUUGUGACAUGUGAGCCUCAGUCCUCGCUAUAUCAGGGAGUAGCUUCCUCCGACUAUCGGAAUCACCCUUGCCUGAUGGCAUCUUCUCAGCCCCGUGCUUAGUAAGUCCCCACAUUCCUUUACAGGUGUUCAUUUAAUUCCCUUUGGGUUGAUUCUCAAUAGUUUCUUUCUCUAAGAGUAACCUGAUUUCUGACCCAUACAAUGACCACUGUGGUCCAGCGGACCAUUUGCCUUUCCCACUUUUCCGUCCCCAACACGCACACGCUCCACCCCCUUGCAUAAAAUAACAGUAAGGAAGAAGCAGAAUGAAAUUCCACCCCUGCAUCAGCUACUGGAGUUGGGGCUGAGUUUUGUCUGAUUAAGAACUGCCGGAUCAGUGGCUCACGCCUGUCAUCCCAGCACUUUGGGAGGUCGAGGCGGGCAGAUCACCUGAGGUCAGGAGUUCGAGACCAGCCUGGCCAACAUGGCGAAACCCCGUCUCUACUAAAAUGCAAAAAUUAGCUGGGCGUGGUGGCACACAUCUGUAAUCCCAGCUACUCGGGAGGCUGAGACUGG
rnacentral:lncRNA from 10 species